CAUCCAUGAAUUCAGCAUUCAUUUUACUCCCCCUUUGGUUUGGAAUUCAUUUCAGACCUUUUGAAUGCAGUUAUUACAAGUUGUGCUCCCCCUGUUUCAUAUGCAUUGACAAGUUGGCAAAAUAGUAAAGUGGUUGCACAUUGUCAAAUUUGAACAUUCUCAUGGCACAUCACAAAAUUAGAAACAUACACCAAGAUUCAAAAAGAAGUGUA
rnacentral:lncRNA from 1 species